AAACCACUUAAGAACGACGACAUCAGAGAUUGGCACCCNGGGGUAGUGCGCAACGAGCGCAACCCCUGUGCUUUAGUUGCCAGCGCGUGCAUGGCGGGGACUCUAGAGAGACUGCCGGUGCCAAACCGGAGGAAGGUGGGGAUGACGUCAAGUCAUCAUGGUCCUUACGUCUAGGGCUACACACGUGCUACAAUGGCGGGGACAGAGGGUCGCGAGCCGGCAACGGCAAGCCAAUCCCGUAAACCCCGCCUCAGUUCGGAUUGUCGUCUGCAACCCGACGGCAUGAAGCUGGAAUCGCAUGUAAUCGUGGAUCAACUACGCCACGGUGAAUACGUUCCCGGGCCUUGUACACACCGCCCGUCACGCCAUGGAAGCUGUGAGCGCGCGAAGUACGUGUCGAAACCCUCACGGAGUCAAGCGGCCGAAGGCGAGCGCAGUGACUGGGGCGAAGUCGUAACAUGGUAGCCGUACGGGAACCUGCGACUGGAUCACCUCGUUAUCGGAUCGCUAGUAACCGCCCGGCACGUACCACCGGGAACNGGGNANCGNCAUCUUCGNUAGCNUCGNCCUUCNGCCGCUCCGAAACNACCAAUUUUCCCUGGGUUGCCCAGUGGCCC
rnacentral:rRNA from 1 species